rnacentral:lncRNA from 1 species
UAUAGGCAAAUACAAGAUAAUUUCACGUUCGACCUAUAACCUACUAUUAGAAUCCGCGGUCAAUUCGUUAUAGCCAUUGAACCUACGUAUCUUCAUAAAUUAGUUUAUUUGACGACGAAACUUUAAUUAUCGUAAUUCAAAGUAAUGGAGACGAAAAAAUGCAUAGCGAAUAAUGAUUCAAAAUUAGACGGGUGUGAGCAAAAGAGCAAAAACAGUUACUGGAAACACUUGCUGAGCCAGCAUGAAAAGAAGUAUGCAGCGCUGGAGAGGCGCCAAGCUGCCCUUGCUGAAAGGGUGAAAUUCAUGGAGUACGCGCUGCCAUCUUUAUUAAUGGGUACUGCAAUAAAUUCACAGCAAAAACCAGAAAAUUCAAAAUCGCCUUCCAAGGCUCUUGAUAAGUGAGGAUAAUGUGCCGAGAAUGUCGUCAACGAAAUAUAAAUAGUGAAAAAAAAAUUAAUUAAAAUGAUUACAUUGAUAGUAAAAAAGUCCGAGGAAAAUACAAGGCAAUGUUCAAAUACAUUAUUCAUAUUUUACCUCUGCUAUAUAACUUAAAUUAAAAAAAAAGAUAAUAUUUCAAUUGAA